CUUACAGAGUUCUUUGGCAUUCUGUCCACCUCCUCGAUCUCCUUUUAGAUAGAAAAAAAAGAUUAAUUAGAGAAAAAAAUAUUUUCUUCGUUUUAAUUUAUGUGACGUAGUUUGAAACGAUGAGAUAAAGUGUAAAAUUAUGGAGGUGGGCAUACUGCCAACAGAUUUCUGUUGG
rnacentral:pre_miRNA from 1 species